rnacentral:lncRNA from 1 species
CAUAUGUGGUUCCCAUUGUUCCCUCAUGGACCACCCCUAGUUCCGGAAUGCACACCAGAUUCACAUUGUGCAUGAGCUCUAUGACUAUCACAAAAACAAGUUUGCCAAGCAGUGGACUAUUGACAUUGAGCACCGGAAGAAUAACAUGUACUACUUUAAAGAGGCUUAUACUCUGUGUGACGAAUUUGACAUGCUCAAGCUCAUGACAGUCCAUUGUCCCUUUGAUGUGCAGCUCAUUCACCAGUUAUAUG